rnacentral:rRNA from 1 species
AAUCCAUAGGUUAAUGAGGCGAACCGGGGGAACUGAAACAUCUAAGUACCCCGAGGAAAAGAAAUCAACCGAGAUUCCCCCAGUAGCGGCGAGCGAACGGGGAGGAGCCCAGAGCCUGAAUCAGCAUGUGUGUUAGUGGAAGCGUCUGGAAAGGCGCGCGAUACAGGGUGACAGCCCCGUACACAAAAGCGCAUGUGCUGUGAGCUCGAUGAGUAGGGCGGGACACGUGGUAUCCUGUCUGAAUAUGGGGGGACCAUCCUCCAAGGCUAAAUACUCCUGACUGACCGAUAGUGAACCAGUACCGUGAGGGAAAGGCGAAAAGAACCCCGGCGAGGGGAGUGAAAAAGAACCUGAAACCGUGUACGUACAAGCAGUGGGAGCACAGGUUUACCUGUGUGACUGCGUACCUUUUGUAUAAUGGGUCAGCGACUUAUAUUCUGUAGCAAGGUUAACCGUAUAGGGGAGCCGUAGGGAAACCGAGUCUUAACCGGGCGUUAAGUUGCAGGGUAUAGACCCGAAACCCGGUGAUCUAGCCAUGGGCAGGUUGAAGGUUGGGUAACACUAACUGGAGGACCGAACCGACUAAUGUUGAAAAAUUAGCGGAUGACCUGUGGCUGGGGGUGAAAGGCCAAUCAAACCGGGAGAUAGCUGGUUCUCCCCGAAAGCUAUUUAGGUAGCGCCUCGUGAAUUCAUCUCCGGGGGUAGAGCACUGUUUCGGCUAGGGGGCCAUCCCGGCUUACCAACCCGAUGCAAACUGCGAAUACCGGAGAAUGUUAUCACGGGAGACACACGGCGG